ACCCACAAACUUUAAACAUUCAUUAACGCAAAACUUCAUCAAAUUCUGUACAGAAAUGACAUCAAACUAAUCUCUAUCUAUCUAUCUAUCUAUCUAUCUAUCUAUCUAUCUAUCUAUCUAUCUAUCUAUCUAUCUAUCUAUCUAUCUAUCUAUCCACACACCAGCACCUAACACUUAACACAACCUUUGAGGGGAACAAUAUGUGUAAGUGACCACUAGAGGUCGCUAGAGGUAAUUCAUUCACAUUCAGGUCAUUUAUGUGAUUGGGUUUGAGGCUGUGAGCCCAGAAACCUGUAUUGUCGAUCAGCAGUUACACUUGUCAGAUUUCUCUCAUGUCAGAAGCUCAGUGACAUAUGUAUUAUAUAAUUCCCUUUUUUCACAUUUGUUUUGUUAAGCUGCUUUGUCUUAUGUCUACACAUUUGUGUGCUGUUUAGCACAGAUACCAUCAAGCUAGCGGCUAACUCAGGAAGCAGCAAGUUUAAAGUUUGCACCCUUGGUGAGCGGAGCGAGACUUUAGACUAUUGUACGGUCACAUUGGAUUUGAAAGCAACAUCCUUUCUUCCAUACAUCCACGCUGCCUGAAAGACGACAGCUUCCUGAAUCCAACGAUACCAGAUAUGUGCACAUCGGACCUCCGCUUCAAAAGAUACGGCCAGACUGUUGUAAGGUCACAUUGGAUUUGAAAGCAACAUCCUUUCUUCCAUACAUCUGCGCUACCUGAAAGACGACAGCUUCCUGAAUCCAACGAUACCAGAUAUGUGCACAUCGGACCUCCGCUUCAAAAGAUACGGCCAGACUGUUGUACGGUCACAUUGGAUUUGAAAGCAACAUCCUUUCUUCCAUACAUCCACGCUACCUGAAAGACGACAGCUUCCUGAAUCCAAUGAUACCAGAUAUGUGCACAUCGGACCUCCGCUUCAAAAGAUACGGCCAGUUCCUGUCUCAUGGCCGACUCCCUAUGGUUUAUUCACUGAUACUACAAAAAUACUACAUUUGAAAAAGGAUUCUUGAAAGUGCAGUACCUUUGUGUGACCACAAGAUGUAGGUGUCACAUAACCUAUGAACCUACCCUAUGUUAAAAUCAUACACACUUGUAAGGUAAGGUUGUAAAUAUAUAUAUUUGUAUGAUCCUGUAACACAACACACACACACACACAAACAACACCUCAACUAAACUUACCAGUCACACACAUCUGGGCGACACAGACCUAAGUCGUAUACCCCUGGAUUAAAAUAAAAUGAUAAAUCAUUCACAUUUAAAUCAUCAUCAUCAUCAAACUUACAUAUACACUGUACACAAAGACGUACAUGUUUGUUGCACACAAUCACCUAGGCCGCACUGAAAAAAAAAAAAAAAAUCACAUACUCCUUGCUAAGAAUACAAUUAUACAUAUUUUAAUAAGCAAUAAUCAUUCUCAUUGUAUACACAGAGGUGCAACCAUGUUCGUCAUAAAAAAGUGACACAGUCGAGCACAG